ensembl:lncRNA
CAGAGAAGGAUAAUGAGGUUCAAUGUGGGAAGAGGUCAGGAGGAUGGACUUGAGAGAUCUCCUGACAGUUGAGUCCAGCCCAAGGUGAAUAGCAGAUGAGAUGAGAGAAGAGGAGUUAAGGUAUGGCCUACAGUUGACCUGAGGGAUUAGGGUGGUGGCUAGGAGAGUGCUAGAAAGCAGGCUUUCCUAUAGGGAAGUGCUCUGGGCCCAACCUUGAGGCCACCCCAUUCACCUCUUUAGCUAUUUAUCACUCAUCCACCUUCCCAUCUACCCACCUACCUACCCACAUCCAUCCAUAUCUCACCAAAGCCUUCCCUUAUGCCGGGCUUCCAUGUGCCAAGGACUCAGAAAAUAACCAGUGCUGAUCUCGGCUUCUGUGGGCCCAGAGAGAGAGAUUGACUCUCCUUCAUCCUAGUAGUACAUCUGGUUGCUGGCCUCUGCCCAUGGAGAAGGUGAUAUAUAUAACUGGCUGGCAUUUCUUCCCAGAAAGUUAUUGCUCAUGCAGGCUUGGGGCUGGGGAGUCUCCAUCCUAAUGAGAUCAGUAUUAGAGUUAUAAGUGUUAGCCAUUGACAGCUUCAUGGCAUUGUAUAGGCACCAGUUCACUAGGAAGAGGCUCAACUUCCUUCCUUCUCUUGGGCUUGCCUUUGCUGAAGUUCCCAACCUGAUUUCCGUCUCUGAUGAGGAAUUGCCCCUGCCAGGUUCAGCCACCCACCCAUUCAGAAACAUGAGCUCCUCUGCUGGGUAUCAGGGACACUUGGUCUUUGACCUCUCAUACCUCACAGGCCAGGAGAUGGGAGAUAGAGACCCUUAAGCAGGGAGUAGAUGAGGCUAAAUCGUUGCAGUGAUGUGGGUAGAGAGGAAGGCAAGGAUGUUGUAGAGGUAGAAUUGGCAGGAAUUCGUGGCCAACUGCAGAUACAGGACGUGAGGUAUUCAGGCUUCUGGGUACCCACAGGUGAGGGUGGCCAGUUAGGAGCUUAGGAUACAUGUGACCUCAUGGGUUGUUUCUGAGGCCCAGGCCCACAGGACCUUUUAAGAGGAUGACUUCUUGGUCAGAAAGACUGGCUUCUGCCUGAGGAAGAGCCUGUGUGAGUCAGUCCCUCUCCACCUCCCAGCCAACCAUCAGAACCAUGGACUCAGGUCUGAAAUCACUGCUUUGAAUGAAAGGCUAUUUCAUGCCUCUGUAGUAAAGAGCAGGCACAAUUGGUGGCCACAUUAAGUCGCACCAUUAGGGAGCUUUUCCAAGUACGAGGUUAUUAGUUUCUUAGAUGCAAUUUCAUAGGAGGAAUUUGGCCAAAAUGGAAACUUGUUCAUCUAAGCUAAAGCAGCCUAUUUAAAAAGCAAAAUUGGCCAGGUGCGGUGGCUCACGCCUGUAAUCCCAGCACUUUGGGAGGCCAAGGCGGGCAGAUCACCUGAGGUCAGGAGUUCGAGACCAGCCUGACCAACAUGGAGAAACCCUGUCUUUACUAAAAACACAAAAAAAAAUUAGCUGGGUGUGGUGGCACAUGCCUGUAAUCCCAGCUACUUGGGAGGCCGAGGCAAGAGAAUCACUUGAACCCGGGAGGCAGAGCUUGCAGUGAGCCGAGAUCGUGCCAUUGUACUCCAGCCUGGGCAACAAGAGUGAAACUCCAUCUCAAAAAAAAAAAAA